CCUACGGGGGGCAGCAGUGAGGAAUAUUGGUCAAUGGCCGGGAGGCUGAACCAGCCAAGUCGCGUGAGGGAAGACGGCCCUACGGGUUGUAAACCUCUUUUGUCAGGGAGCAAGGUGCAGGUCGGGACCUGCUGUGAGAGUACCUGAAGAAGAAGCCCCGGCUAACUACGUGCCAGCAGCCGCGGUAAUACGUAGGGGGCAAGCGUUAUCCGGAUUUACUGGGUGUAAAGGGGGCGCAGACGGCGAUGCAAGCCAGGAGUGAAAGCCCGGGGCCCAACCCCGGGACUGCUCUUGGAACUGCGUGGCUGGAGUGCAGGAGGGGCAGGCGGAAUUCCUGGUGUAGCGGUGAAAUGCGUAGAUAUCAGGAGGAACACCGGUGGCGAAGGCGGCCUGCUGGACUGCAACUGACGUUGAGGCCCGAAAGCGUGGGGAGCAAACAGGAUUAGAUACCCUUGUAGUC
rnacentral:rRNA from 1 species